rnacentral:tRNA from 1 species
GCCCCCUUAGCUCAGAUGGAUAGAGCACAGGAUUCCUAAUCCUGGGGUCGUGGGUUCGAAUCCCGCAGGGGGCGCCA